rnacentral:rRNA from 1 species
GACGAACCGUGCGAACGUUAUUCGGAAUCACUGGGCUUAAAGCGCGUGUAGGCGGGUCGGCACGUCGGUCGCUGAAAUCCCCCGGCUUAACCGGGGAACGGGCGUCGAUACGACCGUCCUGGAGGGGCGUAGGGGGACCUGGAACUUCCGGUGGAGCGGUGAAAUGCGUUGAGAUCGGAAGGAACGCCCGUGGCGAAAGCGAGGUCCUGGACGCCUACUGACGCUGAGACGCGAAAGCCAGGGGAGCGAACGGG